CAAUGGCGUAUAUUAAAGUUGUUGCAGUUAAAAAGCUCGUAGUUGGAUUUCUGGCAGGAGCGACCGGUCGGCCCAUUGUGGUGUGUACUAGUGUUGCAUCUGGCCAUAUUUGUGGAGAGCGUGUGUGGCAUUAAUUUGUCGUGCUCGGGACCCGCAUCGUUUACUGUGAGAAAAUUAGAGUGUUCAAAGCAGGCUUAUGCCUUGGAUAUGUUAGCAUGGAAUAAUAAGAUAAGACUUUGGCGGUCUAUUUUGUUGGUUUGCACGCCAUUGUAAUGAUUGAUAGGGACAGUUGGGGGCAUUCGUACUUGACAGUCAGAGGUGAAAUUCUUCGAUUUGUCAAAGACGAACUAAUGCGAAGGCAUCUGCCAAGGAUGUUUUCAUUGAUCAAGAACGAAAGACAGGGGAUCAAAGAUGAUCAGAUACC
rnacentral:rRNA from 1 species